rnacentral:rRNA from 1 species
UACGAAGGGGGCUAGCGUUGUUCGGAAUCACUGGGCGUAAAGCGCACGUAGGCGGAUCUUUAAGUCAGGGGUGAAAUCCCGAGGCUCAACCUCGGAACUGCCUUUGAUACUGGGGAUCUCGAGUCCGGGAGAGGUGAGUGGAACUGCGAGUGCAGAGGUGAAAUUCGUAGAUAUUCGCAAGAACACCAGUGGCGAAGGCGGCUCACUGGCCCGGAACUGACGCUGAGGCGCGAAGGCUAGGGGAGCAAACAGG